GGGCCCGCACAAGCAGUGGAGUAUGUGGUUUAAUUCGAAGCAACGCGAAGAACCUUACCAAGUCUUGACAUCCCUUUGACCGCUUUAGAGAUAGAGCUUCCCUUCGGGGCAAAGGUGACAGGUGGUGCAUGGUUGUCGUCAGCUCGUGUCGUGAGAUGUUGGGUUAAGUCCCGCAACGAGCGCAACCCUUGUCAUUAGUUGCUACGCAAGAGCACUCUAAUGAGACUGCCGUUGAUAUAACGGAGGAAGGUGGGGACGACGUCAAAUCAUCAUGCCCCUUAUGACUUGGGCUACACACGUACUACAAUGGCCGUUAACAGAGGGCAGCAAUACCGCGAGGUGGAGCAAAUCCCCAAAAAACGGUCCCAGUUCAGAUUGUAGGCUGAAACUCGCCUACAUGAAGGUGGAAUUGCUAGUAAUCGCAGAUCAGCAUGCUG
rnacentral:rRNA from 1 species